rnacentral:rRNA from 1 species
UGUUUCGGCUAGGGGGUCAUCCCGACUUACCAACCCGAUGCAAACUACGAAUACCGAAGAAUGUUAUCACGGGAGACACACGGCGGGUGCUAACGUCCGUCGUGAAGAGGGAAACAACCCAGACCGCCAGCUAAGGUCCCAAAGUCAUGGUUAAGUGGGAAACGAUGUGGGAAGGCACAGACAGCCAGGAUGUUGGCUUAGAAGCAGCCAUCAUUUAAAGAAAGCGUAAUAGCUCACUGGUCGAGUCGGCCUGCGCGGAAGAUGUAACGGGGCUAAACCAUGCACCGAAGCUGCGGCAGCGACACUAUGUGUUGUUGGGUAGGGGAGCGUUCUGUAAGC